rnacentral:lncRNA from 1 species
GAUGGACAAGGGGGAAGACGAGGAAGACGAAGAGAAGAAGGUGGAUGAGGACUUGUGCACGGUAUACCCGUGGUGGUUAUCGGUGGUUGUUGGAGGUGAUUGGCGGUGAUUGAAGGUGUUCGGAGUUGGACGAGGAGGAGGACGAGGAAGACAAGGAGAUGAAGGUGGACGAGGAUUUGUGCUCGGUAUAACCCGAGGUGGUUAUCGGUGGUUGUUCGAGG